rfam:Lysinibacillus manganicus DSM 26584 contig13, whole genome shotgun sequence.
AAACGCCACUUAUCCCCGAAAACGCCACGUCCUGUGGCAUCGGUGAUAUGACCAACAUCCUGUUGG